UAAUAAAUAAAAAGGUAAUACCCCUGGAGAAACCUAUACUCUUUGACGGCCUUCUUUCUAAUCAAAGGAACUUGUUUACUGAUCGAAAUUACACGUUUAAUUUUCCUUCUCCUAAAAGUUUUUAUACCGUCGUCUUAAGAACACACCCCUUACCACCCCAAGUCUGUUCUAAACUAAUUAACUAAACAAGUCAGAUCAAGGUGAAGCCUAUGGAGAAGACCAUAAUGAGUUAUUCAUAAAAAUAAUUUAUAGAUUUUUAUUGAAAAAAUAAAUGAAUUAAGAUUUGAAAGUAUUAUCCUACUAACAAUUUGUAAAGAGUAAGUAAAAGAAGGUGU
rnacentral:rRNA from 1 species